rnacentral:rRNA from 1 species
AUGAACGCUGGCGGCGUGCCUAAUACAUGCAAGUCGAGCGAACAGACGAGGAGCUUGCUCCUCUGACGUUAGCGGCGGACGGGUGAGUAACACGUGGAUAACCUACCUAUAAGACUGGGAUAACUUCGGGAAACCGGAGCUAAUACCGGAUAAUAUAUUGAACCGCAUGGUUCAAUAGUGAAAGACGGUUUUGCUGUCACUUAUAGAUGGAUCCGCGCCGCAUUAGCUAGUUGGUAAGGUAACGGCUUACCAAGGCAACGAUGCGUAGCCGAGCUGAGAGGGUGAUCGGCCACACUGGAACUGAGACACGGUCCAGACUCCUACGGGAGGCAGCAGUAGGGAAUCUUCCGCAAUGGGCGAAAGCCUGGCGGAGCAACGCCGCGUGAGUGAUGAAGGUCUUCGGAUCGUAAAACUCUGUUAUUAGGGAAGAACAAAUGUGUAAGUAACUAUGCACGUCUUGACGGUACCUAAUCAGAAAGCCACGGCUAACUACGUG